AUUGAACGCUGGCGGCAUGCCUUACACAUGCAAGUCGAACGGCAGCACGGGAGCAAUCCUGGUGGCGAGUGGCGAACGGGUGAGUAAAGUAUCGGAACGUGCCCAGUCGUGGGGGAUAACGUAGCGAAAGUUACGCUAAUACCGCAUACGAUCUAUGGAUGAAAGCGGGGGGUCGCAAGACCUCGCGCGAUUGGAGCGGCCGAUAUCAGAUUAGGUAGUUGGUGGGGUAAAGGCUCACCAAGCCGACGAUCUGUAGCUGGCCUGAGAGGACGACCCGCCACACUGGGACUGAGACACGGCCCAGACUCCUACGGGAGGCAGCAGUGGGGAAUUUUGGACAAUGGGCGAAAGCCUGAUCCAGCCAUGCCGCGUGCAGGAUGAAGGCCUUCGGGUUGUAAACUGCUUUUGUACGGAACGAAAAGGUUUGGCCUAAUAAGCUGAGCUCAUGACGGUACCGUAAGAAUAAGCACCGGCUAACUACGUGCCAGCCGCCGCUGUAA
rnacentral:rRNA from 1 species